rnacentral:rRNA from 1 species
AGCAGCCGCGGUAAUUCCAGCUCCAAUAGCGUAUAUUAAAGUUGUUGCAGUUAAAAAGCUCGUAGUUGAAUUUCGGGGUUAGUAGGUUGGUCAUGCCUCUGGUAUGUACUGGUCUCACUGAUUCCUCCUUCCUGAUGAACCUUAAUGCCAUUAAUUUGGUGUUUUGGGGAAUUUGGACUGUUACUUUGAAAAAUUAGAGUGUUUAAAGCAAGCUAACGCUUGAAUACAUUAGCAUGGAAUAAUGAAAUAGGACGUUCGAUCCUAUUUUGUUGGUUUCUAGGAUUGACGUAAUGAUUAAUAGGGAUAGUUGGGGGCAUUAGUAUUCAAUUGUCAGAGGUGAGAUUCUUGGAUUUAUUGAAGACUAACUACUGCGAAAGCAUUUGCCAAGGAUGUUUUCAUUAAUCAAGAACGAAAGUUAGGGGAUCGAAGGCGAUCAGAUACCGUCGUAGU